GAUGAACGCUGGCGGCGUGCCUAAUACAUGCAAGUCGAGCGAACAGACGAGGAGCUUGCUCCUCUGACGUUAGCGGCGGACGGGUGAGUAACACGUGGAUAACCUACCUAUAAGACUGGGAUAACUUCGGGAAACCGGAGCUAAUACCGGAUAAUAUAUUGAACCGCAUGGUUCAAUAGUGAAAGACGGUUUUGCUGUCACUUAUAGAUUGAUCCGCGCCGCAUUAGCUAGUUGGUAAGGUAACGGCUUACCAAGGCGACGAUGCGUAGCCGACCUGAGAGGGUGAUCGGCCACACUGGAACUGAGACACGGUCCAGACUCCUACGGGAGGCAGCAGUAGGGAAUCUUCCGCAAUGGGCAAAAGCCUGACGGAGCAACGCCGCGUGAGUGAUGAAGGUCUUCGGAUCGUAAAACUCUGUUAUUAGGGAAGAACAAAUGUGUAAGUAACUAUGCACGUCUUGACGGUACCUAAUCAGAAAGCCACGGCUAACUACGUG
rnacentral:rRNA from 1 species